CCAAUUUCUGUAUAAUCUCUCUCACAGCGAAAAAAGAGGAGAUGACUUUUUGGCUUCUGCUUGUUUUCCUUUUAACAGUUUUCAAAGACGUCCAGUCAGCAAUCCAGUUGGAAGAAUCUGGAGGGGAUGUUAGAAAGCCAGGAGAGUCCCUCCGCCUGUCCUGCAAAGCUUCUGGGUUCACCUUCAGUAGCUAUUACAUGGAAUGGGUGAGACAAGCUCCUGGCAAGGGCCUGGAAUGGGUUGCACGCAUACAUCCAACAAAUGCAGCUUAUAUUUACUACGCUGAUGCAGUCAAAGGGCGCUUCACCAUCUCCAGAGACAAUUCAAACAGCCUGCUGUUUUUACAAAUGAACAACCUGAAACCAGAGGACACUGCUGUGUAUUACUGUGCAAGAGACACAGUGAAGGAAGUGAAUCAGGAGCUGAACAAAAACCUUCUGUUGACAAUGGUCCAAAACACACUAAAUGAAGAUGGUGAGCAUAAAGUCCAUGCACCAAUGAGCCUUGCAGAUAUUUUAGCUUGA